rnacentral:rRNA from 1 species
CCUACGGGUGGCAGCAGUGAGGAAUAUUGGUCAAUGGACGAGAGUCUGAACCAGCCAAGUAGCGUGAAGGAUGACUUCCCUAUGGGUUGUAAACUUCUUUUAUAAAGGAAUAAAACGAGGCACGUGUGCCUUUUUGCAUGUACUUUAUCAUUAAGGAUCGGCUAACUCCGUGCCAGCAGCCGCGGUAAUACGGAGGAUCCGAGCGUUAUCCGGAUUUAUUGGGUUUAAGGGGAGCGUAGAUGGGUUGUUAAGUCAGUUGUGAAAGGUUGCGGCUCAACCGUAAAAUUGCAAUUGAUACGGGCAGUCUUGAGUACAGUUGAGGUAGGCGGAAUUCGUGGUGUAGCGGUGAAAUGCUUAGAUAUCACGAAGAACCCCGAUUGCGAAGGCAGCUUACUAAACUGUGACUGACAUUGAUGCUCGAAAGUGUGGGUAUCAAACAGGAUUAGAUACCCCGGUAGUC